CGCAUGUCGUGACAGAAGUGUCAGCCUGCCUGUGGGAGCUGCCAUGACUUCUGUCGUGACAGGAGCCUCGUCCAGCCGAAGGGAGACUCCUGAGCAGCUACAGCUGAUGUUGGUGUGAUGUUGAAGUCUGAGCAAUGAAUCCAUGUCUGUCACGUGACAUAAAGCUAUAGGUGUCAGACAAGAGGACUGUAAGAAUCACACAAAGGAGAGGAGCAGGACACCUCUGACAAAGCAAAUCAGAAGCUACGAGGAUUAAUUUCCUGCCUUCCAAUGCUGAUCGCCUGGUAAAAUGGGCUCUGAUUCAGCUGCUGUAUCAAAGAAAAAUUCCCUUAUUAUGAAACUCUGGUAUCCAUGCCUCUCCUUGGAGAAUAUAAUGCUAUAAACUGAGCCUGCUGUGAAGAGUUCAUCUGAUUCUAAUGGAACAACACAGUAACAGGCUGUACAUCUUGUUCACAGGAUCACUUAAGAUUUGCUUCUCUUCAGCUGUCCACAGUUACUUUGCAUGACAAGGCCAUACAAUCACCAAACUGGAUAUUCUAGAGUUAGAACUUGAGCCAUCAGUCACAGGAAAAGAAGUAGGGAGAGAGAAAGGAAUUUAUCUUUGAAAACUGGAGGAAGAAUACAGAGCUAAAUCCAGCAGACCUUAUUUUGGCAAAACUCCCACUGAAGUCAGUGAGGGUUUGUGAAAGUAAGGACAGCAUGAUUUGUCUCACAGUUCCUGAUGAUUAUUUGGAAUAGGUUUGCUCCCCGCCUCAAGCACCAGAGUUUGACAUCACCACGGUGCAGUGUCUUACAGUGUGUAAACUAGAAUCAUGAAAAUCAGUGUAGUGCAAUUGUGAAAAAUACCCUUUUCACCCAAUGACCUUGGACUAAACUGGAUUGCCUUGUGAGUUUGGAGGCUGCUACUGCAGACCUAACGCUGCAGAAACAGAGACCCUGAGAAUUUGGAGAACCCCUUUUAAAUUCACGCUGGGAAUUUAAAGAACUCUUUAAACAAGCUGGAAAUAAGUCAAAUUCUGAUUGUUAGAAAACAACCACCCAAUUGGGUGUUGUCCAGACAGGUGGUACCUUGUGAUAAAAUUGUUGAUUCGUGUAAUACUUCCUCACUGGAACACUGGCGUGUCUGUGAAAAUUUCAAUUCUGUUUCCAUUACAAAUUGCAACAGAGAAAAGCAGCUGAAGAGUUAACAGUGUUCCUUCAGCAGGAAACCUACUGCUACAAAUGAUAACACAGGGCACACGUUCAGCUGGAGUUCUUUAUUUUUUUUUCACUUAAGUCUGAACAAAUACAGGGCCAACAAGAGAAACCAGAUCCGCAAGCAUCAGUGCUCUCCUCGUCCCCUGACAGGAUGACGGAGUAACAGCUUCUCACACUCCACGGGGUCAACGUGUCACGACCCUUCUCCCGAGGGCACACCUUUGGGGUGACAGCACUUCAGCCUGCCUGGUCUUUCAGUCGUACAUCUGUCUGCCUUCACGGGGAAGCUGGCUCCAGGCUCGCCAAACACUGCCAGCACGGUGAUUUAGGAAUCAGGCUGAUACUGCCAAAUCACUCUGCAUAGAUCACUUGCUGAGGACAAACCCCAGGUAGUUAGCAGUGAGCUUUCCCUCGCUGCUCGUCUGAGGCAGACGUGAAAUAGUGAUCUAAGGAGAAGCAGCUCCGUACUUCAUUUCCAGUUCUUGAACCGGCAAGUCACUCGGAGAACAGCUUUCACACUGCUUGUUGGGUAUGAUACUAUCCCUGCUUAUUAAUCACAACACCCUCCCUGUGAAGACAUUCUCUAGGCACUGAACUGUUGCUAAAUACUUCUGCUGUGUUGCGUUUUGUAACAGUGAGCAGCAUCACAGUGCAGGAAAACCUUACCAAGAAAGCUCUGCAAAUCAGUAUAUUUAAACAUAAUAAAUAAUGUAGCAGCAGGGCCCAACCUUUAUGAUUGUGGGCAACUAUAUGCAUAUGACUUUUAGUAGUAUUAUCCAUGUAGGUAAAGGUAUACAAAUAAGUAAUCCUAGAUUUAGAUAACUUAAGGAACUCUAAAAACAUUUGUUUAUUAUAAUUCAAAUGGAAGUAAAAUGGUACCAGUAAUAUAAUCAAAAUAAUCUGCUAUCCAGCUGGUACAACAGCUGGCCAUAUAACCUGGUGGAGGUACCGUUUCCUCGUGCCUAUUGCUGAUGUUAGCCACUGUCUCAUCUCUCAGGUCCACCUGGAACUUGCUGCAGCUCUCGGGACAGCUGAAGUCAACAAGACUAAAUAAAUGCAAAGCUGCAGAAUCCUAGAGUAGUUCUAGAGCUGGAAUACUUCCUCAUCUAGCGUGGGGUAAAGAUAAGGAGAAGCUAUUGAAGCAAAAUAAGCUGCUGCUCGUGAGUGACUGCUCGGAUCAGUGUUCCAACUGAAAGAAAUCUGCUAAGUGCUGGAGCCCCAGAUUCAGCUCCACACAUUUUUUAUUUGGACCUUCACAUGGGAAAGGCAGGUAUUUUUCUAUAUGGUAUAUUUAUUAGCUAACCAGUGAGGUCAUUAAUAAUAACAAAGCAAAAAAAUUAGAAGUAAGUUUUUUAUUGCAAGUGAGGAAGUAAAAAUAUAACUGUGACAUGCAAAGAUUUUUGAAUGCUCCUGUCAAAUCAUGAACUAGGUGAAAAAGCCAGUGAACAGAAUCCAUUAAGGUUGCAUUUAUUAAAUGUCCAUUUAUAUAAGAAGCUAAAAAUAGCAUUUGACUUUUUCCAAUUUUCUUUUCAUAACGGUUAUUAUGAUUUUCUGCUUCAUCUCAGAAAGUCAUUUUGCUGCUGCUGUGGUAUGUAAUCUGUGUGCCCUUUCUUGGUGCAGUACAAAUGACAGAACACUAAUCAGAUCAGAACAACAAUCACGUCAUCUUUGAGUAACCAGCAAUAAACUGUUUUUACAAGGAAAAAAAAGAUGAACUAUUUUUAGGGUAACUUUGAACAGAAAAACAAAAUAUACUCAAUCUUAUUUUACAUCAUUGCUAUGAAUUUCAGAAGCAUUGCUUUUUUCUUGGGCAGCAGGCUAAUCCAUGUAAUACAUCUUCACGUAAAUGGUCUAGUCAAAUAGGGUUUCUAGGGUUUUGUUAAAAGUUUUGACUUGAAGUAUAUAAAACUCCCUUUCUCCCUGCCCUGUCUGCUGACUCUGAACCAUAGGCUGAUUCCUAAGUAACCUAAAUGCCCAUUUUUGGCGAUUAUCCCAUGUUUUCGGCAUGUCUCCUAUCUAGUUGUCUGUGUUAUUUUCCUAUAGCUGGCAAGUAUUCAGCAAAACCCUCCUUUACAAGUCCAGGCCUGUGACUCCUAUAAUUUUCUUCAGCUCAAGAGGUCCCACAGUGCAACGCAGGUGAAGUGAGGUGAUAAGGGCACGGGGCCAGCAGGGACAUCACGUGUAGGUGUCUCUGGAGGCAGCUCUGCCCACACUGUACUACAGGCUGCAUGUCCUGGUCGGGAGCGUCUCCGUUUCCCAUGGAUGCGGCUCCCUUCGGCGCCUUACUAAGGCCUGUUCCCCGCCCGGGUCGAGUACUCAGCUCAGGGAAGCUGCACCUUCUCCCCACCCCGGCCAACUCUACCUGUUUUUCCCUGUAAAUGUGUGUAGGGGAAAACGUGCUGCUUCUCCCUGUCCUGGGAAAGAUUAGCGUGCAGCUGUUGAGAAAGACUUGACUAUCUUUGGCUAUUCGGCAGCGUGGGAGGGCUUACAGGAGGAUGUCCUGGGAAUCUAUGGAUCUCAGACCCACUCCUUACACAUAUGCUGCAGUUUUGAACCCUUUGGAGGCAUCUGAAAUAAAUGUCAUUAAAUGACCCAUUCUAAACCUCUUUUUCCUGUGGCCCAGCAAGCUACUCCUCACUAACAAUUUACCUUCUUAAGAAAUGUAAAAAAAAAAAAAAUACUAUACAGUCAAAAUGUAGUCAUCAGAUUUUAGUUUAGUUCUGUUAA